rnacentral:rRNA from 1 species
AUAUUGGGCAAUGGAGGCAACUCUGACCCAGCCAUGCCGCGUGCAGGAAGACUGCCCUAUGGGUUGUAAACUGCUUUUAUACAGGAAGAAACACUCGUACGUGUACGAGCUUGACGGUACUGUAAGAAUAAGGACCGGCUAACUCCGUGCCAGCAGCCGCGGUAAUACGGAGGGUCCGAGCGUUAUCCGGAAUCAUUGGGUUUAAAGGGUCCGCAGGCGGUCAAUUAAGUCAGAGGUGAAAUCCCAUAGCUUAACUAUGGAACUGCCUUUGAUACUGGUUGACUUGAGUUAUAUGGAAGUAGAUAGAAUGUGUAGUGUAGCGGUGAAAUGCAUAGAUAUUACACAGAAUACCGAUUGCGAAGGCAGUCUACUACGUAUAUACUGACGCUCAUGGACGAAAGCGUGGGGAGCGAACAGGAUUAGAUACCCUGGUAGUCCACGCCGUAAACGAUGGACACUAGUUGUUGGGAUUUAUCUCAGUGACUAAGCGAAAGUGAUAAGUGUCCCACCUGGGGAGUACGAUCGCAAGAUUGAAACUCAAAG